rnacentral:rRNA from 1 species
CCUACCAUGGUGGUAACGGGUAACGGGGUGUUAGGGCACGACACCGGAGAGGGAGCCUGAGAAACGGCUACCACAUCCAAGGAUGGCAGCAGGCGCGCAAAUUACCCAAUCCCGACACGGGGAGGUAGUGACAAUAAAUAACAAUACGGGGUUCUUAUGGAUCUCGUAAUUGGAAUGAGUACAAUUUAAAUCUCUUAACGAGGAACAAUUGGAGGGCAAGUCUGGUGCCAGCAGCCGCGGUAAUUCCAGCUCCAAUAGCGUAUAUUAAAGUUGUUGCAGUUAAAAAGCUCGUAGUUGAAUUUCGAGACCGGUUUACUGGUCGUGCUUUUGUACGUACUGGUAUUAUUGGUUUCUCCUUUCUGACGAAUCAUAAUGCCAUUAAUUUGGUGUUUUGGGGAAUCAGGACUGUUACUUUGAAAAAAUUAGAGUGUUUAAAGCAGGCUCACGCUUGAAUACAUUAGCAUGGAAUAACGAAAUAGGACGUUUGAUUUUAUUUUGUUGGUUUCUAGGAUCGACGUAAUGAUUAAUAGGGAUAGUUGGGGGCAUUAGUAUUCAAUUGUCAGAGGUGAAAUUCUUGGAUUUAUUGAAGACUAACUACUGCGAAAGCAUUUGCCGAGGAUGUUUUCAUUAAUCAAGAACGAAAGUUAGGGGAUCGAAGACGAUCAGAUACCGUCGUAGUCUUAACCAUAAACUAUGCCGACUAGGGAUCGGAUGAUGUUAAUUUUUUAAUGACUCAUUCGGCGCCUUACGGGAAACC